GACGAACGCUGGCGGCGUGCCUAAUACAUGCAAGUAGAACGCUGAAGAGAGGAGCUUGCUCUUCUUGGAUGAGUUGCGAACGGGUGAGUAACGCGUAGGUAACCUGCCUGGUAGCGGGGGAUAACUAUUGGAAACGAUAGCUAAUACCGCAUAAAAUUGAUUAUUGCAUGAUAAUUAAUUGAAAGAUGCAACUGCAUCACUACCAGAUGGACCUGCGUUGUAUUAGCUAGUUGGUGAGGUAACGGCUCACCAAGGCGACGAUACAUAGCCGACCUGAGAGGGUGAUCGGCCACACUGGGACUGAGACACGGCCCAGACUCCUACGGGAGGCAGCAGUAGGGAAUCUUCGGCAAUGGGGGGAACCCUGACCGAGCAACGCCGCGUGAGUGAAGAAGGGUUUCGGAUCGUAAAGCUCUGUUGUAAGAGAAGAACGGGUGUGAGAGUGGAAAGUUCACACUGUGACGGUAGCUUACCAGAAAGGGACGGCUAACUACGUG
rnacentral:rRNA from 1 species